GAGUUGGUUUGGGUGAGCGCUGCGGAGCCGGGUCAGGGUACUCACAGCUGCCCGGGCCGACCCCUGCGGCUGCUGGGCCGCGGCAUCCCGGAGCGGUGUCGGUGCUCCGCUUGGCCCUGUCAGUGCCCGUAUGCCCCGUGAGGGUCGGGCAGAGGCGCCGCUGGUGCGCAGCCUGUGGGGGAAAAGCUGUCCUCACAUGAGGGGUGGGCGGGAUGCGGCCCCGCGGGGAUCUGGAGUUUAAAAUAAUAUUAAAAAUGCAGGCAAUAAAGUUGUUUUAGUCCAUUAUUGUAUUGCUCUUAUGUUCUAUUAGUAUUUUGCAUUAGACUAUUAUACUUUUAAAUUCUCUUUCUAGAUAAAUAGUGUUUAUUUAUUAUAGGACUGGAGCCACAGAGAACAUAAAGCCCUGGGGCUGGAGCCAGAGCCAAACCCAAGUGGAUCUGAAAUAAAUCCCACAGGGAAGGGGAUGGAGCUGCCCAGGGCUUCCAGCCCAGCCAGUGGUGCUGAGCACAAGCCAGGGGUGGAAUCUUGAGGGGUUCCUGGGGCUCAGAACCAGCCCAAGAGCACAUUUUGGGCUCUGGGCUGCAGUGAGAACCAGGAGCAGCUUUUAGCUGGAGGCAGUGGGAAGCUGAGGAGAUGGAGCUGAGGCAGCACGGCUGGCAAGACAUAAACAUGCUUCUCCCCAUUCCUCUGGCAGUGAGGGCCCUGUGCAGUGGAGCAGGACGGGUGUUUUUGGGGCACACAGGACACAUCCCCUCCUGCCAUUCACCAUCUGUGUGGGCAGGCAUCAAUCAAGCUGAAAAACACACAUGAAGAGAAAACUCCCUGAGGAGCUCACAGAGACAGGAGUUCCCUUCUCUUUGAAUUGCCAUUUGUAUUCCGAGAGUUGUGUAAACAUUAAAUAUUUAAAACAUUGCCUGUAGCACUCUUGUUUCUCGGUGGGAUUUGGAUAAAGCCGUUCCUGUCUCAGGGUCAUGAGAAAUGUGCUCAGGCUUAGUGCUUUCCCCUUCUCCAUCCGCGAUGCCGAGGCCUCCAGGAGCGCUGCCCCUCUCACACAGCCUGAAACCCGAGCCUUGUUUCAUGUUGGCAGGAGUUGGACUGGGUUUGGCUCUCUUUUGCCCUAUCAUUCCUGGUCUGUGGGAUGCUGCUGCUGCAGGAACUUUGUCCAAGCCUCCCCAGCAUGGGAGCAGCUCUGCACUCCCAGACAGAACCCACUGCUCCAAGCUUUAGGUUUUUUAGCAGUGCCCAGGCC